GAGGGAAUGAGACUUACACCCUGCAUUUAACCAGUUUCAGUUUCUUUACUGCUUCAGGAGCAGUAAGGAAGACCUGCAAGGAAGAUCUUUGCACUAGGGCUGGAUGUUCCCGCAUCGGCAGACCUCAAGGACUAGACACACGAGGUGGAGGACCACUGCUUCUCCUGACACAGACUGAGAAACCAAGGCCAAGAGAAACAAUUUAUCCAGUUUUCCCCCUUCAGCAGGUUAUAUCCUGAAGAACAACACAGUUUAGAAACUCUGAGGUACAAUUAUCCACUCUGCAAAGACAAGUGCAGCUGGAGGAAAUAUCGCAGUCAAUUUGUACUGAUACGAGACAAACACAUAUUUAGACUGGAAAUCAACUCUGCCUCCUCUCCUUGAAACUUUAUGCAGACAGUCAAAAGUCAGCAGGAGAGAGGCAAAUCUAUGGUUGUUCUACAGAUCUGGUUUAACAGAAAUGACCUUUAAAACUAUCUACAGACACUUCACUUUCUGCACCUACCUCCUGCCGCUUCUCCUGGUGCCCACACUGCCUACGCUUGCUUGAGCAGAUACACCUUCCUCCAAAUUCCUGCAACUGCUUGGGCUCGGCCCUGGAAAUCCCAGGGUCCAUGCAACGAGCAACUCCCUGGCCUGCACAUCCUUCUCCAUAUCUCCAGAACCUGCUGAUACUCCUUUGGUACCAUUCUACAAAUCCUAUUGAAAUUAAAAGGAUUCUGCAGUUUUGGUUUCUCUGAUGUCUUCAGUGCUAGUGCCAUGUCAUAUGCAUCAAGCUGUUGGCCUUGCAAGACAGUUACGUUACAGCUCUGUAGCUGUUGAGUGACAACAGGGCUUUCCAGCUGCUAAGGUUGAGGAGCCACUGAAGUAGGGUGUAUUUCAGAAACUGCACUGGUGAGAGUCAACCGUUUUUCAGAUUGGCUGAAAUGCUGAACUAAUCUGUUUUCUAAUCCAAUAAAAAUACAUAUUUUCAAUAGUAGGACAUGGAGAAACUCUUAUUAGUUUAACCACAUGCAUCAGACAGCAUCUACCUCAUUAGCAAUUUGGUGUAACAGGCAUAAAGUCGCUGGAACAGAACGUGUUUGCAGGGUAAAUAUUUCCCACUUUGAAAAUAAAUAUCUUGGCUUUGGCUCAGCAUUUAUUUAGCAGUGGGAAACUGCUGUCCUGUGACAACGUUCCAUUCCAUUGACAUUAUCUCCUAAUGAUGUUGUAAGUGGGGACAAGUUAACCUCCAAAGGUUCAGAGGUUCAAUUUUCAUUAGGAUAAGCGUCUAGGAACUUUGAAAGCUUAUGAGCCAUUAUCCCAACUUCAGUAGUUAGUUUCUUACCCCUUCUUAUUUCCUAAUAAGCUCUUGUCUCUUUUUGGCCAAACAUCCUGAAAAAUCUCCCCCAGGUUGCCCUGUUGCCCAUGAGCUGGGGUGGCUGGUUUGGCUCUAUAAGAGGGGUCCUGCUGAAGGCACGAAGUUUUCCCCAGUUUACCAGUGCAAUGAACGAGAUCAUCAAAGGACUUUCUUCAGAAAGCCUCGCAAGACAAUUACUUUGAGGUCACUGUGCAGCUGUUUCCUGAAGCACACGUAGUUGGUAACAUUCACAGAUGGCCCAAUGUUGAUGCCUUGGUUUUAGGCAUUUAACAAAAUCCAGUCAUCUAGUUUUCCUCCGUAACCACCAGGAAGGUUCUACUGUUCCUGGAACUGACUCAAAUUUACCUGACCUUCAUGAAUUUUGUCUGGGAACAUUUUGCCCUGGCUCUCAGGUUUUCCUUUCAACUAGCUUCAUCUACCUCUUGUGUUCUCCAGUAGAGACAUCCCCCAUGUGAGCCUAUCAAAGUAAAACCACUUAGUUUGGUUAUAGUCCAGGAAAACGACAGUCCUACAUCAUGAUCCACCAAUCUGAUACCUAUGACAGAAAGUGAUUUUCUUCUCCUUUCUCCAGCUAAUGCCUUAAGCUUUAUUCUUUCCCCCAACACAGUACUCUUGCAGCCUGUUUGUAUCCAUCUUGCUAUCAACAAAUUUAAGCAGCCCCUUCCCAGCUACUUCUUUCCACGUCUUAUUUCAACUCUUACUCCUUUAAAUUGCCCCCUUCAAGUCUCCACUUCCCUGUUUUCCAAAACCCCACUUGUAGUUUAGUCAUUAUUAUUUUUGCCCCAAAUUAGAAGUAGUAAAAUUUAAGAGGGACUGGUGAUUUUGAGUGCCUCGAUUUUUAGGAAUCCAAUUUGUGAAAUAUAAAAAUUGCUGAGUACGUCUCACCCUGAGGAGCAAGGAGCGUGGACUUGGAUACACCAACUGGCAGGCAUUAAGAAUACACCAAUCUUUUGGGGAAAAUCAGUUUAAUAUAACAUCUUACCAUUCCCUUACUUCUAAAAGGCGCUCUCUCAUACACACAUCUUGCAUUAAACAGCUAGUGUAUGGGGCACACAGAUAUAAUAGAUCUACUUAACUCCAAUUAAAGCAAGCAGUGGGCAAUGUAACCUCUCUUUGCCUCCGCUGAUCAUGCUGCAGCUUUGCAUACAGAUUACACUGGGCAGGUUUGCCGCUGACUGUGCAGUGCAAUCCUUAGUGUCAGGCACUUAACACCAGUCCAGACGAUGCAACCCUUGGGUUUUACAGUUUGGUAGGAAAAGCCCACCAGAAAUUAGAAAAGGGGUUAAGGCUUAAUGCACAGAACCUUAAAUAAAUGUGGGUACAUUUAAAGUCAAAGAUGUGUUCAAAGGCUUAACAAUUUCAGGAUCCCUUCUUCUCAUGUUUAUUAUCCACGUCCAUACAUUUAUAGCAGCUUUGCCAACUCUUCAUUUGACACGAGUCAUAUGAAAACAUGAAAAACUCAUCUUUUAUUAAAACUGUGAAUUUUCAGGCCCAUAAGGCUUUGAAGGACAAGCAUGAAAAUUUGACUCAAGUGCACCCUAUAGACACAAAACAGAGAAAACAAGGAAAUUCUGUCCUCUGUGUUUAAGUCUUACAAUUGAUAAGCCUGGGCCAAAUGCAUAAUAUUGUGUCCACAAGAAUGAGACAUUAUUGGUCUGGCUCAUGAUCUGAGUGUUGAUCACUCAGACCAAUAACCUCCUAUUAUUUUUAUUUAAACGGUUACUUUUCCUACCACUCACCUGCACUCUCCUAUUUACUGUGAAAUGUGGUCGCUUUCAGCAAUAAAGAUUCAUAUACCUGUGGUUAUUUUGUCAUUUAUAUGCAGUUCUAUCACCGCUUGUUUUAAUCUCUGUUUUUAGGGGGUGUUCUGUUUACUGCGCUGCAAUGAUUUUUGAAUUAAGCUCAGCAAAAAGUGUUACUACAUCAAGUAUAUCUUUGAAUAUUUGAAUAUAUUUGUUUGCUUAAACAUUGGCUUAGUCAGACAGCACCGAGGAUUUGUUUUUAAGUACAAUGUUUGCAAUUGACAGAUGACUUUUCUCUUGGUGGAUUCUAAUUGCUUGUAACCCAGUGGGAAAAUGUUUGCUAUUGUAUACAUUGAUUUUUUUAAACUAAGAAAGCAGUAUUUUUUUUUUAAAUACAAUAUGAAUUAAUACUUCAUAAACCAGUACUCAAUUUGCAAGCCCAGUUGGACGUAAUGGAAGUAUAAAUUUAAAAUGAUGCCUGUAAGAAAUAGAGUCAGGAAGGUUUGAUGUGGUAUAACUCUUCCCAGCAAUGCUUCAUAUACAGUACUAUCAUAUACUAUGAAAUUGUUAGCUGUAAUGCCCUGCAGAACAUUUGAGGUAGUAGUGAAAACAAUAAGAACAGUAACAAUAUUGAUAAGGGGUGGUUUCAAUAGGAAAAUAAAUCCCAAACAGUUUUUCCUACCUAUGGGUUUAUGCUUGCCUCUUUGAUUCCAUCUUACUGUAUGACAAAUCAAAUGAACUUCUGAUAAUUCUUUUUGGGGGGGGGGGCUUGUGAAGAAUAUUGAAAUAGGAUUGUUGCAUAGGAUAAAUUAUAAUGUGAAAGGAAGGGCAUUGCAAUGGCAUGCAGCUCUGUAGUAAGACACCUUUGCUAUUCCUCAUGUUGAUAUCACCUCUGGAGUAGUUAGCAUAACAAUAUUUGCUUUGAUUUUUUUAACACACACUACGUUUUGUAUAACAAGGAUAUAUUGAUUUUAAUGAUACUUGAAACUUCCUGAUCCUAAUCAAGAGCAUGCGACAGAAACACUGCAAAUGGCACAACACCAUAGUAACAAAAUAAAUAAGACCUGAUCUUUUCUGUC